rnacentral:rRNA from 1 species
AUUGAACGCUGGCGGCAGGCCUAACACAUGCAAGUCGAGCGGAUGAAAGGAGCUUGCUCCUGGAUUCAGCGGCGGACGGGUGAGUAAUGCCUAGGAAUCUGCCUGGUAGUGGGGGAUAACGUCCGGAAACGGGCGCUAAUACCGCAUACGUCCUGCGGGAGAAAGUGGGGGAUCUUCGGACCUCACGCUAUCAGAUGAGCCUAGGUCGGAUUAGCUAGUUGGUGGGGUAAAGGCCUACCAAGGCGACGAUCCGUAACUGGUCUGAGAGGAUGAUCAGUCACACUGGAACUGAGACACGGUCCAGACUCCUACGGGAGGCAGCAGUGGGGAAUAUUGGACAAUGGGCGAAAGCCUGAUCCAGCCAUGCCGCGUGUGUGAAGAAGGUCUUCGGAUUGUAAAGCACUUUAAGUUGGGAGGAAGGGCAGUAAGUUAAUACCUUGCUGUUUUGACGUUACCAACAGAAUAAGCACCGGCUAACUUCGUG